rnacentral:lncRNA from 1 species
AUGAUGAUUGCGGCUUUGACUGGUAUCGACAAGGCACGUGGACGUGGAUUCCGGAAUCAGCUGCUCAAGAUGGAUCUGGACUCGCCCCUUGAUAUCGUCUACAAAUCGCGUCGGUUGAAGACAGUUCAAAUAUGGUUCCACGACGAUAAGAACCCAUACUCUGGAAAUUCCAUCCGAUGGUAUCAGGGCUCUGUUCCAGCUAACGUGCAAGGCCCAUUCAGACUCGAGUUUAGCACAAACUUCGGCAAAAUAAAUCGAGGUGAUACGGAAGCAGGACGGAUUGUGAUAAUCAAAAAUCUCGCCGUGAAAUACACCAAAUGUGGCGGUUCUGUUCCCGAUGUCUAUCUUGAGAGGAAUCCACCUCCUGUCUUCGUUCGUGAGCGAGAACGAAAUUACGAUGGGAGUCGGCCUUGGUUUCAACUGCCCAGUCUCGGCGGAUCUAUGAAAAACUGGUUUAAAAGCUCCUCAGUGUCGAAAUCGUCUUCAGACAAGUCCUUCCGAGGAAUGUCUGCUCAAUCGUCUUUCAACGUCUAGGUGUAAAAAUGCAGUAUUCAUGGUAAACAAAUAGACAUGUUGCAAUAAUGUUGCAUGUGUGAGGAAUUUGCGAUUUGACUGUUGGUUUUUAUGCAAAAGUUCGCGAGAAACACGAUGGUGCCACUGGUUUUCUCUGAAACCAACUCCCAAGCUCAAAAAAAGCUCUCAAGUUGAGGCCAAAAUGGCCGGGGAUAUCCCACGCUACCCUGAGAGUCCACCUCUACAUCAAGACAAACUCUCCAUGCAAAGAUAGGGAGCAAAUACAUUAGCAGGGUUGCCGUGCUUUCAGUUUUAGAGUCCCCAAAUAAAAGAGCAGCCCUGUCAAUGUAUUUGCUCCCUAUUUUUGCAUGGAUAAUUUGUUUUGAUGUAGAGGUAGACUCUCAGGAAUCAGGAUAGCGUGGGAUAUCCCCGGCCAUUUUGGCCUCAACUUGAGAGCUUUUUUUGAGCUUGGGAGUUGAUUUCAGAGAAAACCAGUGGCACCAUCGUGUUUCUUACGAACUUUUACAUGAAAACCAGUAGUCAAUCGCAAAUUUCUCACACAUGCAACAUCUCCAUUGGGCAACGUUGCCUGAUGUCAACGAUCAUGGUGCCAACAAACCGAAAAUCUGAUCAUGGAGUCAACGAUCGUUGACGUCGUGCUCAGGCAGUAAAACGUAACAAUGGGCCCUGAGCAUGGUGUCAACGAUCACGGUGUCAACAAACAGAAAAAUAUUUUCCUCAUGAGUAAAAUUAAAAAAUUAAGUCUGCUGGAAAGGUUUGGAUCAUGUUUAUUUUUAUUAGGUUAGGUUAUGCUAGGUUAGGGCAGGCAAGGUUCGAAAGUUUAGUUCAGUGAAGUUGGGUUAGGUCAUGUGUGAUAAGGUUGGGUUCAGUCUUGUAAGUAAAGUUGGGUAAGGUAAGGAUAGAGUAAAAAGCACAAAAAGAACAAGAUUUGAAAUUUGAAGGAUGGUUUAGAGGGAGAUUUUAAGUUUCGUUGACUCCCUGUUCAUCUUUUACAGGAGUCAGAAUUUAUUUUAUUUUUGGAUGAUCACGGUGUCAACAAAAACUUAGAAGAACCAUUUGUUGACAUCGUGAUAAAAUUAAAAGAACGAGAGACGGGUGGAAAAGAAGGCGUGUGCUCGUUAGUUGAGGGCUGUAAGAAUGAAUGGGAAUGGGUCAAUUUAUUGCGCAGGUCACAGGAUCGUGUUUUGAUGCUUGAUUCUUGAAGAUUAUGGAAAAAUAAUAAGAUCUGUCCAAACGGCGACUCUCUACACUGCAAAUGAAUCGAGAUAUCGCGUUUUGAAAAAUUCAGUUUAUGACGUCAUCCCCCGCGUUAGUGACACCCUUGAUUUCUUCCACCUUACUUUCAUCAAUCAAGAGGACACACAUUUGCACUGGUUACUCAACGUGAAGCUUGGAUGAAGGCAAGGUGGAAGAAAUCAAGGGUGUCACAACCGCGGAGGGGAUGACGUCAUAAACCGAAUUUUUUAAAGGGCUAUAUUUCGGUUAAAAUUAAACGUGGUACGUUGCUGUUUGGAUGGAUCUUACAUUUUUAGCUAAUCUACAAGAAUCAAGCAUCAAAACCAGUGACGUGGCGUGCUUUGCGGUAUAUCGAAUGAUCUGCCAUUUAAACCUAUGGAAAAGGAUCGAUAAACAGGGUGUUCGCAGCGAAUACAUUAAUAAUCGAUUCUUUUUCAUAGGUUUAAAUGGCAGAACAAUCGAUACAUCGCAAUUCACGCCACGCCACUGAUCAAAGCACGAUUCCGAGACCAGAACAACUGGCUCAUUAAGGUGAGAGUGACGUCAGCGUCGACGACGCGACGUGGGCCCACACAGGGACGGAACGUUCUUUAACUCAUGAGCCCUGUACUCAACGCUCUUGUGACGUGUACACGGCUCAUGAGUUAGCAAAUUUUGGCGCUUUAUACCUUUUGCUUCAACGUCGAAUCCCCGUUUUUCAUUUUGCCAGAAGGGACCACUCCCACAGUUACAUUGUUUCUUAUGCAGCUUGCAUGGUCACACCCCAUCUUUCCCACACGUCUCCACACGGAGAAAAAAACUUCGUGCAUGGAACCCGAAGUUGAGGUCAUAUGGAUCUCUGGAGUUUUCGGAUCACGCAUCCGAAAACUUGAGGUUCAGCUGCCCAAGUUCGGGUUAGACAUCUGAAGUACUUCGGUAUGCACCGAGUACUUCAGAUGUGUGACCUGCACCCUUCGGUAUAUACCGAAGUGCUUCAGAUGUGUGCUUCGGAUGCGUGAUCCAAAAACUUCAGAAGUCCAUGACCUUAACUUCGGGUCUCAUGCACGAAGUUUUUUUCUCCGUGCAGUUCUGCUUAGCAGAAGUACGUCCAAAUGGUAUUUUACACGAUAGCAUCUAUAUACAACCCUCUUUUAUCCGUUUAUGAUGACCGAAGUACGAAACCAUGUAUCUUUGUUUGCGACGUUGCAGACUGUCCGUCAAACUUUGUUGUUCCCUUAGAAAACUAAUCAACGUAAUCUCUCGAAAACUUUCUUGAUUUUUAUUUCUCCGAUAGCAGAAUAUUCUGUAAAAAUUUCAAGCUACAAAGCUGGCUUGUUCUUCCCCGAAAAAAUAAAAAAAGUAAAGAACAUUGUGAAGCACUGUAAUGGAGAUACGUGGUUUCGCAUUUUAGCCAUCGUCAUGCAUCUGCAGCGAACGAACAUUCAAUGGCGGGUUUCAAACGGAUUACAUCUUGCAAUAAGGAACCAUACUAUUUCUGGCCCAUUUUAGAAACAACAUACAUGCCACUGUUUUCCCUAUGCAGAUAUGUGCUUUCAUGGGAGAACCAGAAAUAAUGGUUCCUUAUUGCAAAAUGUAAUCCCAAUAAUACUAAUGCGAAUGGAGGAUACCAGGCCCUCCAUAAUGAAACUCCAAAGACGUUACAAGUUCGUUUGAAGAGAUUUUACAAUCCUUUGUAUUUGUAACGGAAAGUAAGUACACGUAUUUAUUUCAUUACAUGUAACAUAACGAUGGUGAAACUGCAGAAAUGCGUAUAUCAGUUUGCGGCGUUGCAGACUUCCUUACAUACUUUAUUUUUCAUAUGGAAAACCACUUAACAUCAUUUAUUGAGCACUUCGGAUAUUUUUCUUCUCUAUGUGAAAAAUAUUCUGUGAAAAUUUCAAGCCACGAUGUUGGUUCGGUUUCCUUUUAAAAAAUAAAAUAAGAGCGGAGAUUUUCUAACACCGCAACCGAUAUACGCAUUUUUGCAGUUUCACCAUCAGAAGAGAUAAGAAGCUAAACUGCCUAGCAAAGCGGAGAGUAUCACUGGGUUUGAAGGCAAACCAGGGCCAAGGUUGUACCUGUAAAUUCUUAACAACAGAAACUUUUUCUAUGCCAAUACGACGAGUAAAAACGCAUUUUGCUUGCAAACUCCAGGCUAUACUGAAUGACUGUGACAUAUUUGGUAGCACUACAUAGAAUUUAUUUGACUUCAAAGCGUGCGUGUGUGUGUGUAAUACGCAUUAAGUACUAUAAUAUUACAUCAUUGGUUAGUUAGUUGAAUAGUUACGACGCUUAGCAACUAAGCUAUUUACGCUGGAGACCAGGAAUUUACCUUAAAUUGUAAGAUUUACUUGUUUAAAGAGCGUUAAAAUUUCAGUAGUUACUUUUGGAUCAUCAGAGCUUAAAUAAUAGAUGUUUGGGAGUAGUUAAUUUUGAAUUUUGAUGCGUGUAGCAUGAGUAGGCCCCUAAGUAUAUAACAAAUAUAAUUGGGUACAGAUAUAUGUAUAAAGGUAUAUAAACUGGGUUAUAUUUUCAAAAUCUGAAUUAAAUGGGCUCAUUUAGAAGUUACUGUCUGUCGAUAACUGCAAAAAUUAUGGAAAUUGGCCUCGUAGAACGGUAGAACAAACUGUGGCAACAUUGAAAAUGAAGGCCAGAGAGCUUGUAGUGAUGUUUCAUUAAAAGUGAUAACUUUUUAUUAAAAAAAAAAUAAUACAUAGCUAAAAUCAGUAAAUGUAGUCUCCUUAUAUUAUUUUUUCCUUGGAUUUUCCUUUUUAGCAUACCUUUGUAUUUAUAUGUAUGUUUUAUUAUCAUUUUGAUGUAGAGUGUAUGUACAGUCAGCCCUAUUUUUUAUACUUUUCAGUGGGUCUUGUGCCAAAAAUUAUUGUACAAGUGUUAUUAUUUCGUUUUUUUUUUUUGUAUUUUUAGCUUAAAAACGAUUAGGUUAAUGUAGAAAGAAAUGAGUUAUAAUUUGGAGGUUCUGUAUCUUGGUAGAAUCUUUAAAAAAAUUCUAUCGAAUUAUUGGUUGUAUCCAGAAAAUUAUAAGCGUUUAAAAAGGAGCAAUUCUUUCGUGGAUACAUUGUUGCUAUUGAGGCUCCGCCCAAGUUGAGAUUUGAACAAGUAUUUGUAAUGACGGCGAAAAAAUACGUGAAUAUUCUAAAAUUCAAUACUAUACGAAGGAUAAUUCAAUUUAAUCAAACAUGUAAUUACCUACUUUAUUGUAUAAUAGAAAAUUAAUUUUUUGUAAUUUUGAGUCAGGUGAAAGUUUUUUUUUUGCUCUACUUUCUUUUACAUUAUUGAUUAGGAUUAGAGCCAAUCGGAUCGUUGAGUUUGUUUAGAAAAAGGCCAUUAAAUUGUUUUUCUCGUAGUUCGUAUGCAAUAUUUUUUGUUUUCAAUUUAUGACAAAUUUCUCUUUUUUCCCUUUUUUCAAUUUUUUUGAUUGAAUUUUAUUCAAAUUAAUAAAGAUCA